rnacentral:lncRNA from 1 species
GUGGUGCCCAGCUGCCCCCAAAGACUCAUCAUGUGACUGUAGAUGGAGAGAAGCUUCAUGGACCAGUGCGGUGCAGACACUGUAUGAGGAGUGCAACUGUAGGGAUGGAGUGUACCCAUCGCUAUAUACAAGAGGUCCCAACUGCAGCUCUAAGUCCUAAUACGACAAGCUGCCGGUAAGAUUUUCGGGAUCUUUCUGAUAUGUGGUAGAAGUUUACAUAGACUUCAGCGACAUGUUUGUGAUUAUUGAUAGUUAAAUCUUUUUUCUCCCUUCUAGGAAAUGAGAUUAAGUAAAUUACCCAGGAUUGCACAGCUAGGAAGGGACAGAGGCCAGGUUUGAACCCUCCUGAUUCCAGGUCAGAUGUUUAAAUCUUUAAAUUAAAUCAAUCCAAUAUAUGUAUUACCCAGUGGAAAUGCUUGUCAACUCCAGGAGAGGGGAGGGAAGGAGGGAGGGAGACAACAAGAAUCAUGUAACCAUGGAAAAUCAAUCAAUCAAUUUUAAAAGUAAAUAAAUCAGGGGGCAGCUGGGUAGCUCAGUGGAUUGAGAGCCAGGCCUUGAGAUGGGAGGUCCUAGGUUCAAAUCUGACCUCAGACACUUCCCAGCUGUGUGACCCUGGGCAAGUCACUUGACCCCCAUGCCUAGCCCUUCCCACUCUUCUGCCUUGGAGCCAGUACACAGUAUUGACUCCAAGACAGAAUGUAAGGGUUAAAAAAAAAAUUUAAUUAAUUAAAACAAUCAACAAAAAAAGAAUAAAUGUUUUAAUUUGUACCCUUUCUACAUCUUUUUUUUAAUUGUAGUUAUCUGUAUGUGUAUUGUUAGUUUGCAUGCUCCAUAAAGGCAGUAAUUGUGCUUUAUUUCAUCUUUACACCUCUCCUAGGAAUCUUGGGUUACCCAAAGGGCCAUGGAGAGAUACAAGGAGGGUGCUAACAAGAAUCUUGGGUUACCCAAAGGGCCAUGGAGAGAUACAAGGAGGGUGCUAACAAGUAAGUUCUAGCAAAUUGCCAAC